GUGUGCUGCCGAGAGGCGUGGUCGGGUUUGGCAGGUCGGCCGGCCAGACCGCCGACCACCUGGACCACCCCCCGGCUCUUCUCGGUCCUGGGCUGGGGCUGGCCUGUAGCCCCUAGCCCUCGCCUGUCCCUCCACUUCCCACCCCCGGCUGCAGUCUUCUGCUGCUUCCAACUCCCCACCCUUAACUGCCUGCCCCGGUAUCUGUCCCCCCCCCCCCCCCCCGCCGCCGCCCUCCGCCCUGCUCUGCCCCUCCAAGGGCCGUGUCUCUGAGCCCCGACCCCAUGGCGCUUCAGGCGCUGCAGAGCUCGGGGGUGGCCUUCCGCAAGAUCCUGUCUCACUUCCCCGAGGAGCUGAGCCUGGCUUUCGCCUACGGCUCCGGGGUGUACCGCCAGGUGGGGCCCAGUUCAGACCAGAAGGUGAGCCUGGCCCCGGGGCAGGCCCCACGUCGGGACUCGGCCUCAUCGCACGAGAAUGCCAUGCUGGACUUUGUUUUCACAGUAGAUGACCCUGUUGCAUGGCAUUCAAAGAACCUGAAAAAAAAUUGGAAUCAUUACUCUUUCCUAAAAGUUUUGGGGCCCAAGAUUAUCACCACUGUACAGAAUAACUAUGGCGCUGGAGUCUACUAUAAUCCACUGAUCAUGUGUGAUGGUAGGCUUAUCAAAUAUGGGGUCAUUAGCACUAGUAUUUUGAUUGAAGAUCUCCUCAACUGGAAUAAUUUAUACAUUGCUGGACGACUCCAGAAACCGGUGAAAAUCAUAGCAAUGAAUGAGAAUGUUGCUCUUAGGUCAGCCCUUGAUAAAAAUCUGAAGAGUGCUGUGACCACGGCUUUCCUCAUGCUACCCGAAAGCUUUUCUGAAGAAGACCUCUUUAUAGAGAUUGCUGGACUGUCUUAUUCAGGCGACUUUCGGAUGGUGGUUGGAGAGGAUAAGACAAAAGUGUUGAAUAUUGUGAAGCCCAACAUAGCCCACUUUCGUGAGCUCUAUGGCAGCAUACUGCAGGAGAAUCCCCAAGUGGUGUAUAAAAUCCAGCAAGGCAGACUGGAGAUAGAUAAAAGCCCAGAAGGACAAUUCACUCAGCUAAUGACAUUGCCCAAAACCUUACAGCAACAAAUAAAUCAUGUUAUGGACCCUCCUGGAAAAAACAGAGAUGUGGAAGAAACUUUAUUACAAGUUGCUCAUGAUCCAGACUGUGGAGAGGUGGUGCGACGAGGGCUUUCAGCAAUUGUGAGACCUUCUAGUAUGAAACAGAGCACCAAAGGCAUUUUCACUGCCGAAGUCCUUUUGUUGUGGUCAUGGCUGUUGUUCUGCUUGCUGCACUAAGACAAAAUCCACCAAGUCCUACCUGUGUUCAGUUUUUCAGCUAGCUGGUGCAUCAUGUGCAGGCAUGAAGAAAACAGUGGUUUAUAGUUCACUAAAACUACACAAAAUGUGGAAAGGAUGGCUGAGGAAAACAUCCUGAUUUUGCUUGCUUUUAUAUGUUAUGUGUAGUUGAAUAAAGUGAUCCUUUUUGACAGAA